GUCUGCGCGCCGGCCUGCCUGGCGUCUGCGCGCCUGCCUGCCUGGCGCCUGCCUGAUUGGCGUCUGCGCGCCCGCCUGCCUGGUGUCUCUGCCCGGCGGCUCGUCUACGGACGCUUCUAAACAACCGUGCCCUGCGAUCAGACGCUUAGUGCAACUGACUCCAGUGACCCGGAGGCCCCGGACUCGUGGGUGCCGAGUCUGACCGUCUGGUCAUGCCCGCGGCCGGCGCUCGUCUUCCUGUGAUGUAGCUCCGAGAAGAUGCGCGGCAUGCGCGGCCGCGAUCGUGAGCGCCGGUGGUUGUGCGCCCUAUCCUACGGUUUCGCCGCGAUUUGUUGCUGUGUGUCCUGCUGGUGGCUGUGGCCGUGAGAGUUUCUGUUGGUGUCGGACGUCUCCCCGCGAUGUUGCGCCGGUCAGAUGCGGGGCCCGCGCGGCCGCGCUUCUGGGCGCUGGUAGCUGUGCCGUUCCGAUCGACUGUUUCGCCGCGAUAUGUUUGGCGUCGUGUUGCGCCUGCGGUUGUAGCCGCUAAGUUUGUGUUUUGUUUCACGGUUCUGAUUGCGGGAGUCCGACAGCUUGCUAAUGUAUUUAUGAGGGGGAAGAGUGUAGCCGUAGCAGUUACUGCGUAUAUUUCUGUGGCGUGGCCCCGACUCUGUCUAGACGAGUGGUGUGGCCGGUCGCGGCGCCCGGGGCCCUGUGACGUAUUGGACCACGUGACCUCGCCGAGACCGGGGAUGUGCGGGCCGAUGGCCGGCAGAAUGGUGCUGGCCUUGAUGCUGGAGUGACGGCCAAUACAAAUGCAGUGAGUGA